rnacentral:snoRNA from 1 species
AACCUAUGGUGAGGGCACCUUCUCAAAAGGUCCUUGUAUCUCUCCUACGCCUCAUAGAGUGUUUCUAAAUCUAUCUGCACAAAAGAAGAGAUAUCAUUACGUAAUUU